UGUAUAUUAUGGGCAAUAGCAAUAAAUAAUGUAAUGAUGUAUAUGUGACGUAACGUCAUACGUUUGAAGUAUGAAAAAAUUUACGUUACGUUGACGUUUUUUUUGUGACUUAUUACGUAGCACAUUUAAAAUACGUAUGACUUCUACGUUUUUUUGGUACGUCAACAAAUCCCGUUGACGUGCACAUCACUGCAGACGAAAAUCCCCAUCGAAAGAGUC